GGCCCGUUGGUCAAGAGGUUAAGACUCCAGCCUCUCACGCUGGCAUCAUGAGUUCGAUUCUCAUACGGGUCACCA
rnacentral:tRNA from 1 species